GGUGAACGCUGGCGGCGUGCCUAAUACAUGCAAGUCGAGCGAACAGACGAGGAGCUUGCUCCUCUGACGGUAGCGGCGGGCGGGUGAGUAACACGUGGAUAACCUACCUAUAAGACUGGGAUAACUUCGGGAAACCGGAGCUGAUACCGGCUAAUAUAUUGAACCGCAUGGAUCAAUAGUGAAAGACGGUUUUGCUGUCACUUAUAGAUGGAUCCGCGACGCAUUAGCUAGUUGGUAAGGUAACGGCUUACCAAGGCGACGAUGCGUAGCCGACCUGAGAGGGUGAUCGGCCACACUGGAACUGAGACACGGUCCAGACUCCUACGGGAGGCAGCAGUAGGGAAUCUUCCGCAAUGGGCGAAAGCCUGACGGAGCAACGCCGCGUGAGUGAUGAAGGUCUUCGGAUCGUAAAACUCUGUUAUUAGGGAAGAACAAAUGUGUAAGUAACUAUGCACGUCUUGACGGUACCUAAUCAGAAAGCCACGGCUAACUACGUG
rnacentral:rRNA from 1 species